UUGUACAAAUUUAAGUGUACG
rnacentral:miRNA from 1 species